ACGCAUUCCCACACAGCGAGAGAGAGAGUUAGAGAGACUCCAUUGUUUUGACUUUCACUUCACAAUUACAGUAAACGACGACGAAAUCCCCACCCACUCUUCUCUCUCUCACAGUUUACACAAACAAAACCCAUAUAUAUAUACAUAUAAAAAUAUGUUGUUUUGUAUUGUAUUAUGUAUGUAGUAGUGUUUUCUGGUCUGGAAUUGACUGGUGAAAGGUCUAGUUUGUUGAAUCGAUUUUCUUAGUUUCUUGUUGACCUCUCGCUUUCGGUGUUUUGAUCGGUGUCUCCGUCGUCGUUGUUGGGUUGCUAGUUCCUAUUAUUUGUUGACUCCUUUUCAAGCAACAUCUUCAAUUCCUCUCCCUCUUAACAAUCAUGGUUAUCAUCAAUUCUUUGAGCAAAAUCGAAGCUGAAUUGUGCGAUCAAGUGUUCUGAUUCUGAAAUUUCUAUGGCCAACAACUUGGAUUUUUGGGGGUUAGGUUUUGUGGUUCGGAUUGUGCUUGGUUUCUUCGUUUGUUUCGUGUUUUUGCGGCCUGUUUCGGGAGUUAGGCCUCUGAGGAAAGGGGUUCGUUCGUGGGGUGAUGAGUGGCUUUCUAUUAGAAAAGAUGAGAAUGAAUUUGGCCCAUUUUCUGCUUGGAACAUAACGGGAACAUACAGAGGGUCUUGGAGGUUCAUAGAUUCCACAAAUAGCUCCUCUAGGUUUCCAGAUUUCAGGAAAUCCAAUGGAAAUUCCAUCUUUGAGUUAGUUACUACACCGACAAAAAUAAAUGGUGUACAUUAUGUUCAGGGGGUGAUUAUUUUUCAUGAUGUGUUUGACAACGAACAUGAAGUUGGUGGUGCUCAAAUCAGGGUAGAAGGUGUAUAUAUUUGGCCUUUCAGACAACUUCGAAUGGUAGCCAACAGUGGAAAAGAGGGAGAGUUCGGCCAAGAAGAAGAUUAUAUAUUAUCCAAUCCAUAUCACUUGCUUGGAGUUUUCUCGUCUCAGGUGUUCCAGGAGUCUCCUCGAGACAAGAUUUGGAAGAGGAAACAUUCACCAAUGUAUGACAUGGAGAAACAUUGUAAUGUAGAAAUUGCUGCUCAAAUUUCACGUAUAUCAUCCACUCAAAACGAUGGUGAUCGUGAUCGUUAUCAUAUAGAAGGAUUAAUGGAAAGUCCUUCAGUUGAUGAUGAUGGAGAUUGCUUCUCCCCCAUGGUGUUAAAUGCUACUUCUGUUAACAUUGAGGUUUAUUACAACAAAGCAGUCAACUACACCUUGAUGGUCACUUUUGUUUCAUUCCUUCAAGUUCUGUUAUUGAUACGGCAAAUGGAACAUAGCAACACACAAUCUGGGGCUGCCAAAGUUUCAAUAUUAAUGAUUGGGCAACAGGCUAUCAUGGAUGCUUAUCUUUGCCUUUUACAUCUGACUGCAGGGAUACUAGUUGAAUCCCUGUUUAAUGCUUUUGCAACUGCCGCAUUUUUCAAGUUUGUUGUUUUUUCAAUAUUUGAGAUGAGGUAUCUUCUUGCUAUAUGGAAAGCAAGUCGGCCUAUGAAUAAUGGAGAGGGUUGGGAAGCAAUGAGGCGUGAACUUUCUGUUCUUUACAGCCGGUUCUAUGGGAUACUAUUAGGUGGCAUUUUGGUCAUGUAUGAGUUUCAUAGAUUUCUGCGGCCUAUUCUUCUCCUUAUACACUCCUUUUGGAUCCCUCAAAUCGUAACUAAUGUCGUUCGUGACUCAAGAAAACCAUUGCAUCCUCAUUACAUCUUAGGCAUGACCAUCACUCGGCUAGCAAUUCCAUUGUAUGUCUUUGGCUGUCCUCAUAACUUCAUGCGCAUCGAGCCUGACAAGAGUUGGUGUAUUUGUUUGUGUGCAUUCAUGGGAUUCCAAGCAUCAAUUCUUCUUCUGCAGCACUAUCUUGGAUCUCGAUGGUUCAUCCCUCGUCAGAUCCUUCCUGAGAAAUAUAGCUAUUACAGAAGGUUUGAUCAGGGUGCAAAUCAUGCCACUGACUGUGUCAUUUGCAUGACCGCCAUUGAUAUCACUCAACGUUCUAGCGACUGCAUGGUGACACCAUGUGAUCAUUUCUUCCAUUCUGGUUGCUUACAAAGAUGGAUGGAUAUAAAGAUGGAGUGCCCAACUUGCCGGCGUCCACUACCACCAGCCUAAAUAGAUCAAUCAAAUUACUCUAUGCUUAUAUCACUUUGGAUCAAUUGACAUAGCCCAACCUGUUAAUUGAGGUGAUGAAAAAUGAGGAGGCACGGCACAUUAACCAUGAUCAAGUCAGGGCUGUUGCAGUUACACUAACAGUUUGCGGCUGGCAAUCAUAUUCAUGAAUUGUUUGUAUAUUGUGUAUUAGUAGUUGUUUCAACGACGAAGUUGUAAUUCUUAAUUGUAUUUUCUUCUCCCACUGAAAUUAUAUUUCUCUUCAAGGGUUAGGUUAGUUCAAGAUUAUAGCCCAUGUCUGUGAGAGGGAAAACCGAAUGCAGCAAUUUUGAAGCUGCCAGUAUAAAUUAGAUGUGUACUUUGCUCAUUCGUACAUUCAUUUGAAGAAAUUGUCGAUCUUUAAAUAACAUACAUAUCAUACAAAUACUGUUGAAAAUUUGAA